AAUAUGGACGAUCGCCUCUCUUUUACAUGUCCUUAUAAUCUUUACACGUAAUAAAAUAUUAAAACUUUAAUCGUUUUUAAAUAUAUUCUACCUUCUAAAAUGAUAUUAAUCUUUUAUUUAUCGUUUUAACGUACCUUGGAACCAUUUAAUCGGGUAAGACACUCUGCGAGUGAAAUCGUUCGAGACAACAUUGUAGCCAUCUUGGUAAAGUGUUGGCAAUAGACUGCCACCAAAUGCUGGUUUCGCCAUUGUGUCCCCGCCUUUCUUGACGUUUCUUUCUGAAACAUGACGUAAACCAAUAUAUAUGAUCAUUAUAAGGAAUUUUUCAAUAACUUCCACUGACUUGUGAUCACAUUUACUUAUUACAUUACUCUAUAGGCCUUUAAUUAUGUCAACUGGUACAUAAAGGAGAGCUUCAGGAUCAGUAGCAGCAAUUUCUUCAAUAUUUACUCCACCUUUACUAGAUGCUAUCACAACAAUUCCCUACGAAUAACUUUUGUAUGAAUUAAUAAUAAAUAAAAGUAGACGAUUUAUUUUAUUUAA